GUGGGGAAUCUUAGACAAUGGGGGAAACCCUGAUCUAGCCAUGCCGCGUGAGCGAUGAAGGCCUUAGGGUUGUAAAGCUCUUUCAGCUGGGAAGAUAAUGACGGUACCAGCAGAAGAAGCCCCGGCUAACUCCGUGCCAGCAGCCGCGGUAAUACGGAGGGGGCUAGCGUUGUUCGGAAUUACUGGGCGUAAAGCGCGCGUAGGCGGACCAGAAAGUUGGAGGUGAAAUCCCAGGGCUCAACCUUGGAACUGCCUUCAAAACUCCUGGUCUGGAGUAUGGGAGAGGUUAGCGGAACUCCGAGUGUAGAGGUGAAAUUCGUAGAUAUUCGGAAGAACACCAGUGGCGAAGGCGACACACUGGCUCAUUACUGACGCUGAGGUGCGAAAGCGUGGGGAGCAAACAGGAUUAGAUACCCGUGUAGUCC
rnacentral:rRNA from 1 species